GAUGAACGCUGGCGGCGUGCCUAAUACAUGCAAGUCGAGCGAACAGAUGAGGAUCUUGCUCCUCUGACGUUAGCGGCGGACGGGUGAGUAACACGUGGAUAACCUACCUAUAAGACUGGUAUAACUUCGGGAAACCGGAGCUAAUACCGGAUAAUAUAUUGAACCGCAUGGUUCAAUAGUGAAAUACGGUUUUGCUGUCACUUAUAGAUGGAUCCGCGCCGCAUUAGCUAGUUGGUAAGGUAACGGCUUAUCAAGGCAACGAUGCAUAGCCGACCGGAGAGGGUGAUCGGCCACACUGGAACUGAGACACGGUCCAGACUCCUACGGGAGGCAGCAGUAGGGAAUCUUCCGCAAUGGGCGAAAACCUGACGGAGCAACGCCGAGUGAGUGAUGAAGGUCUUCGGAUCGUAAAACUCUGUUAUUAGGGAAGAACACAUGUGUAAGUAACUCUGAACGUCUUGACGGUACCUAAUCAGAAAGCCACGGCUAACUACGUG
rnacentral:rRNA from 1 species